CCAUUCCCAAGCUCAGUGAUUUACAGCACAAUCAUUUAUUCUUAUGCAGUUUGGCAGUCAACUGUGUUUCAGUUGACCUAGGAUUAGUUUGGGUGAUUCCUCUUCAGAUUGUGGAUCAAUUACCUCUGCACUAGGCUGUGAUUCGUUUUAUUUUGGGUUCUAGAUUGAAGGGAAUGUGUCUACCUAAGGCACAUGCCUCUCAGAAUAUAAAACCAGAUCGCAAGUCUAGCGACAAGAGAAAUAAUUCCUAAUAUUUCAAAGUCAGCUAAAACUUCAUUUUCCAGUGCCCCCUGGUCUAAUUCAGAAUUUUUCCUGCUGUUGAAUCAAGACAUUUCCUUGUUCUAUUCAACAACAACUAGUUAGGCUCAAUAAGAUGGUGUCUUACUCUGUCACCCAGGCUGAAGUGUACUGGUGCCAUCUUGCCUCACUGCAACCUCCGACUUCAGGAAUUAAGUGAUUCUCCUGCCUCAGCCUCUCAAGUAACUGGGAUUACAGACAUUGGAGUUGCUGUUCGUACAAUCCAGGUGGUGGUAUCAAGGAAAUAUUAUGGGCAGAAAAGGCCACUUCUAAGAACUGAUUCUACAAAAGUUCUCUACUCACCAAGGUCACAGAAGCCUUCCAAAUUCUCAGCUUGUGUUAGCCCUUCCUACCUCAUUAUAGUGCAUAUCCAUCCCCUCCUUAGCCUUUUGACAUGUAUUACAAUCAUUCUUUAUUAUCAUGAGCUUCUUCAUUUUAAUUUGUCUCUUCUCAUUAAAAUGUAAGCUUAAAGAGGAUUAGCUAGUGUUAUAUCUCUAUAAUUGAGAACAAUACCUAUCAUAGAGUAGGUACUCAAGACAUAUAUAUCUAUUAUAUGUAGAAAAAACUGAAUAAAUGAGUAUUUGCUCACGUGUGUGCA
rnacentral:lncRNA from 13 species